GAUGAACGCUGGCGGCGUGCCUAAUACAUGCAAGUCGAGCGAACGGACGAGAAGCUUGCUUUUCUGAUGUUAGCGGCGGACGGGUGAGUAACACGUGGAUAACCUACCUAUAAGACUGGGAUAACUUCGGGAAACCGGAGCUAAUACCGGAUAAUAUUUUGAACCGCAUGGUUCAAAAGUGAAAGACGGUCUUGCUGUAACUUAUAGAUGGAUCCGCGCUGCAUUAGCUAGUUGGUAAGGUAACGGCUUACCAAGGCAACGAUGCAUAGCCGACCUGAGAGAGUGAUCGGCCACACUGUAACUUAGACACGGUCCAGACUCCUACGGAAGGCAGCAGUAGGGAAUCUUCCGCAAUGGGCGAAAGCCUGACGGAGCAACGCCGCGUGAGUGAUGAAGGUCUUCGGAUCGUAAAACUCUGUUAUUAGGGAAGAACAUAUGUGUAAGUAACUGUGCACAUCUUGACGGUACCUAAUCAGAAAGCCACGGCUAACUACGUG
rnacentral:rRNA from 1 species